rnacentral:tRNA from 1 species
GGGCUCAUAGCUCAACUGGAUAGAGCAUCGGUCUACGGAACCGAAGGUUGCAGGUUCGAACCCUGCUGAGCCCG